rnacentral:rRNA from 1 species
CCGCUUCCGUAGGUGAACCUGCGGAAGGAUCAUUA